UUUAUUAUUUUUAGUGGUUCAGGAACUGCAAGAGUUUCUCCCUAUUGAUUGUGGCCAUUUAAAAUCCAACUUGAACAAGUGCACAGAACUUUACAAGUAAUUCCAUCAAGAUACUGAAACACUGAUGGAAGAAUCUGAUCUGUGACGUAGAAACAGGAAAAAGAUUGCGCCUGCAGAAAAACCAUCAAAUGCACUGGAAGCAUAUCUUGUCUGUGAUGGAUAGUUUUUUUCUGAAUGUGAAGAAACUUCUUCAGAUUUCUGCAACAUUGCCAGUGUCAACAGCUACAAAUGAAAGGUUGCUGCUCCUGUUCGUGUGUGCUUUCGACUCAGCUUGGAUUCUCGUGAGUGUGGAUUUCCCCCUUCCUUGACCUUGGACCGGCUUGACUAUGAUGCUGCUUCUGUGGACUUUGGAACUUCGCUACUUCGGAUUCUGCUUGUUACAACCCUGGACUUCGCUCGACUCAGCUUGGAUUCUCGUGAGUGUGGAUUUCCCCCUUCCUUGACCUUGGACUGGCUUGACUACGAUGCUGCUUCUGUGGACUUUGGAACUUUGCUACUUCGGAUUCUGCUUGCUACGACCCUGGACUUCUCUGUUUUGUUAACCAUCUGCAUGCUGUGCCGUUUUGUGUGACUUUUGGAAGUACUUUGUUUAACCUAGUUCUUUUCUCUGGAUGAUCUGGAUUAUACUUUGGUUAACCUUUUUGAAGCAGGACUAGUUUUACCUUUGAGUUUUGACCAGAGGCAUUGAGUUAAGUGUAUUUGAGUCUUUUUCCAUUGUUUAAUAAACUCUGUUUUGGAA